GAUAAAUACCAAGGUAGUUAUACAGUUGUAUAAUAUAGUAUAAUCUGUGUGAUCUAUAAAUCCUUAUCUCUUCCAUGUAUAAAUCACAAUGUAAUUAAAUUUUAUCUACAUCAUCAUCAUGGUGUAAAUUCUAGAUCAAUGUUUGUGAUCGUACUAUUAUAGGUUAGUUUUUGUUUUUUUUUCCAUAAUAUAACUCAUUAUGCCUAAAUAUUUACAAUGGUCUAAAAAUCAUAGAGGUACUUAUGUAUAGUAAUAUGAGUAGCUUAUAUUUGUCGACGAAAUAGAUUCAAUCUAGUUAAAGAUUUAAUUUUUAAAACUGAUCGAAAUAACAUACAAUAAACAGUUUUGAUGUUGGCAGGUCACAGGUAUAAUAUUCUCAACAAUAAUCAUCAAUCAUUUCAAGCAAUUUGAUUUCUUAGAUCUUUACUGUCAAUAUAAAUUGUAAUACACCAUUUUAGAUUUAUACUGGCCAAAUGGUUUUUGAUUGUAUAUACCUAUCUAUAGAAAAUUGUAUUACAGAAAUAGCUUGUAUUUCAUCAAAAUCAUUGGUAGAAAGUAGCCAUACUAUUAAUUAAAUAUUUUUUUCUAAACAUCUAGAUUAUUCAUAAGAUAAUCUUUUAUACUCAGCACGGAAUUUGCUUGUCUUGAUGUAAAUGUAUACAAAAUAAUAUUGAUAUUAUUUAAUUGUAAUAUGAAUGAAUAAAUAAUAAAUAUUAGAAUACAAAGUCUGAACUUGAAGGAGGGUCUAACCAAUCUGGGGAUUUGCUCUACGAAUAUUUUCAAUGCUAAAUAGGUCACAAAUUUUACAAACCGAAUACAAAAACUCAUUGAAUGGUUAUUCGAAAAAAAAUUUGCAUCUGUCAUAAUUUGAACAAAAUAUAAUUUUUGGAUAUAUAAUUUAUGGUGUAAUCAUGGGUGGCUGGGUGUUAAAUACCCCCCCUUCUUGUCAAUUUUUUUUUAGUUAUAUUACAUUCCUAAUACUACUAUCGACUAUGCCUGAACUCAUAUUCUCAGUUCAAAGCAUUUUGCCACCCUAGGAAAUUAUAUAUUUUUAGCCGACCUUUCAUGGUAUAUGUAUAUUAUUAUGUAUAAUUUAUCACAUCUAAUAUUUAUAUUUUAACAAAUAUGUUUUCAGUUGGUUAUUUUUUAUUACCCUUGUUUAGAAGCCAUUUAAAAUGUUAGGUAGGUAAGGUAUUAUUAGGCAUUUAAAUUAAAAUAUUAGAUCCUGAGUGUAGCCUAUCUUUAGUCAUUCUUAAAUGAAGCCAUGGUUUUACUCUCCUUAAUGCUGAAAAACCUCUUUCUGCAGAAGUGAUAUUUACUGGUAAAGUUAUUAAUACAUGAAGUAAUGUUUUAAUAGUAGAAAUAUUUAUUUAUCAAAUUGCACAUAAUAUAUAUAUAUAUAUACAUAUUGAUUAUAGAUGCUGGUCAACUAGUUUUCCAUUUGUUAAUUUAGAAUAUAAUUUCAUCGAUAAAUUAAUUAUUUUACUGAUUUUAUUAUUAAUGUAUUAUGUAAAUAAAGACAUCUGACAUAAUAUAUUAUAUCAAAUAUACAAUUUUCAUGAGCAUAGUACUUACCUACUGAAUACAUAAAAGAUAAAACAUUUUGUCAUUAAUUUGAAAAUUGAAAUUGAAUCGUUUUUGAUAGGUACCAUAAAUUAUAUUUUAUAAUAUAACACAAAAUUAAUUUGUUUUGGUUUGCUGUCAAAAGAGGUUAUGUAAAAGAAUCAAGGAUUUCCACACUAAUAUAAUUCAAUGAUAGAAUUUAGUUUCACCACUUUUGACCAAUCACUAGAGGGUAAAAAUAUAAUUUCUAACAUAUCAUCCAUUAAAAGUUUAAAAAGAGUAAACAGAUAAUACAACUUUUUUGCAUUAAUAUUUUUUGAAUAAAAUCCAAUUACCUAUUUAACAUUCUGAAAAUUGUUUUAAUUUUAUGACAUUUCAAUACAAUAGAAAAGUUCAACUUGUAUGGUUUGUCCUAUAUAUUAUGUAGAUUGAGAGGAAGCACUAUACAAUUGCUUUUUAUCUUAUUACCUGAAUGUAUUUUAAAUUUUAGAAGUUUUCUACUAUAACACUCAUUUGAUGUACGGAAUUCUUUAGUAUUAUUUUUAGUAUUAGUGCACCAUUGUGUUUAUAAGGUGGUAUAUUUUAAUGUUUUUUUUUAAAUUUGCUAUUACAGAUUUGUUCUGAAGAUGAAAAACAUAUACAUUAUGUGGAUACCAUGAUCCAAUAU